AUUGAACGCUGGCGGCAGGCCUAACACAUGCCAGUCGAGCGGAUGAAGGGAGCUUGCUCCUGGAUUCAGCGGCGGACGGGUGAGUAAUGCCUAGGAAUCUGCCUGGUAGUGGGGGAUAACGUCCGGAAACGGGCGCUAAUACCGCAUACGUCCUGAGGGAGAAAGUGGGGGAUCUUCGGACCUCACGCUAUCAGAUGAGCCUAGGUCGGAUUAGCUAGUUGGUGGGGUAAAGGCCUACCAAGGCGACGAUCCGUAACUGGUCUGAGAGGAUGAUCAGUCACACUGGAACUGAGACACGGUCCAGACUCCUACGGGAGGCAGCAGUGGGGAAUAUUGGACAAUGGGCGAAAGCCUGAUCCAGCCAUGCCGCGUGUGUGAAGAAGGUCUUCGGAUUGUAAAGCACUUUAAGUUGGGAGGAAGGGCAGUAAGUUAAGACCUUGCUGUUUUGACGUUACCAACAGAAUAAGCACCGGCUAACUUCGU
rnacentral:rRNA from 1 species